rnacentral:rRNA from 1 species
GACGUAGGGCGCGAGCGUUGUCCGGAUUCAUUCGGCGUAAAGAGCGUGUAGGCGGCCAGGUAGGUCGGUUGUGAAAACUGGAGGCUCAACCUUCAGAGGUCGACCGAAACCAUCUGGCUAGAGUCCGGGAGAGGAGAGUGGAAUUCCUGGUGUAGCGGUGAAAUGCGCAGAUAUCAGGAAGAACACCCGUGGCGAAAGCGGCUCUCUGGAACGGUACUGACGCUGAGACGCGAAAGCGUGGGGAGCGAACAGG